rnacentral:rRNA from 1 species
UACGAAGGGGGCUAGCGUUGCUCGGAAUCACUGGGCGUAAAGGGUGCGUAGGCGGGUCUUUUAAGUCAGGGGUGAAAUCCUGGAGCUCAACUCCAGAACUGCCUUUGAUACUGAAGAUCUUGAGUGCGGGAGAGGUGAGUGGAACUGCGAGUGUAGAGGUGAAAUUCGUAGAUAUUCGCAAGAACACCAGUGGCGAAGGCGGCUCACUGGCCCGAUACUGACGCUGAGGCACGAAAGCGUGGGGAGCAAACAGGGA